rnacentral:tRNA from 1 species
GAGGAUUUAGCUUAAUUAAAGUGAUUGAUUUGCGUUCAUUUGAUGUAAGAUAUAGUCUUGCAAUCCUUA